rnacentral:rRNA from 1 species
AUUGAACGCUGGCGGCAUGCUUUACACAUGCAAGUCGAACGGUAACAGCACUUCGGUGGCUGACGAGUGGCGAACGGUUGCGUAAUACAUCGGAACGUGCCUAGUAGUGGGGAUAACUACUCGAAAGAGUAGCUAAUACCGCAUGAGAUCUAAGGAUGAACGCAGGGGACCUUCGGGCCUUGCGCUACUAGAGCGGCUGAUGGCAGAUUAGGUAGUUGGUGGGAUAAAAGCUUACCAAGCCGACGAUCUGUAGCUGGUCUUAGAGGACGACCAGCCACACUGAGACUGAGACACGGCCCAGACUCCUACGGGAGGCAGCAGUGGGGAAUUUUGGACAAUGGGCGCAAGCCUGAUCCAGCAAUGCCGCGUGCAGGAGGAAGGCCUUCGGGUUGUAAACUGCUUUUGUACGGAACGAAAAGACCUCUUCUAAUACAGGAGGGUCAGGACGGUACCGUAAGAAUAAGCACCGGCUAACUACGU